GGACGUGUAGCUCAGCGGUAGAGCAUCUGAUUCCAGUAGAAUGGGGUCUCCAGAAGGUCAUCCGUUCAAAUCGGGUCAUGUUCA